rnacentral:rRNA from 1 species
UGAACCUCGGAUCAGGAAGGGUACAUUC